AAGAGAAAUGCGGAGAGUGAGUCUUGGGAGAGACGCCAUGGUGCAACUGGGAAGACAGUAGACAUGUGACCAGCAGAGCCACUCCUUCAGAAGAGCCCAUCUCUGUCCUUCCUCUGUUGCUAUAGAACCCAAGGCAUCGAACACUUAGGAUGUGUUAAAGUGAAUGGCACCCCAUGAAGAGUAAGCAGAUAGAAACUUGAAAAGAGAAAGGAUGACAACACUGGGUCUACCAGCGCUCCAGAACUCACAGAUAGCUGCUGCCAAUCAACAGGAAUGCUGCCAUGAGCUUUGGUCAAGAAUGGAAAAUACUGCUCUAUGUUAUCCGGCCCCAUCAUCUGGAAUGUGCCUCCCCUUUGUUUUAUGUCUCUGUGUAAAUAAACCCUGCCCAUCCUUUAAGGCCUGAUUCAAGCUAACUCUCUGUCUUAUGGCUUUUCUCACUGCCGCUACCAAGUGCUUGAGGAA